AAAGCAAUGGCUCCAUUGCUGUCAUCAUGUCGUCCCCUUCGCCUUGAUGAGCCCAAUUGCUGUUGUACCACGGCACAUGCAAUAGCACCAGCAGCCAAGGUGUCCUUCCCCUAUCAACUUUAGUAAGAUCAUCCUUAAGCCAUUUGUAUUGAUCUGAGCUUUCAUCAUAAUCUGUAUAUGAACCAAGCAUUAUGAUAUGAACGCCGGAUACUUCAAACGAGUAA
rnacentral:misc_RNA from 1 species